rnacentral:misc_RNA from 1 species
GCCGUGCUCCCGACGCGGCGCGUCUUAUUACAAUUGCCAGGCUGGAGCUCCGGCGAAUCCUUACUCUCGUGGGUGCAGCGCCAUUACUCGAUGUAGGUGAUGAUUUUGGUGGUUUUCUUUUUUCUUUGAAAAGUUUUGAAUUCUUACUUAUUUCUAUUUGUCUAUUAUAAACAUAUCAAAUUGUUUUAAGUAUUUAUUUACAGUGUUAUUAUACUUG